rnacentral:lncRNA from 1 species
UUUUCUUCUCUUCUAAUAUAUCGUAUACAAUAGAAUUACAGAGCUUACUCAAAUUUUCUACUGUCUUCUCAAAUCUCUUCAACUUGCAGGUAAAUUUCUUACUCUUCAAAAUGAAUUUUGUUGCUAUUUAUGUGUUGUUUCUCCUUUUUUUUUCCAAUUUGUUUCAACCCACAUACAAUUGUUUUUAUAUCAAUGGUAAGAUCAUUAAGCAAUGGAGGUUUACCUCAAAUUCAUGAAAAUAAACUAAAUUAAAGACAGAUUUUGUCUAUAUUCAAGAAGAUCCGGAAAUUUUCGAGUUAGGGUUUUGAUGAAUGAAAUUGGGAGAACUUUAUUUUUUUUUUUGUGGAGAUGAAUUGAAAUCAAGAGUUCAGCUUUGAAUAUUCAAUUUCUUUCAAAACUUGUAUUGCAAAUGUUUGUCUUCUUGCUCUAAAGUGUAGCUGCAGCUACUUUUUUUCCUCCUUUUUUCUUGGUUCUUCCUUCUGUUUGGGUCACUAUUAUUAGUUUUGAAUUUAAUGGUUCCUGAUAUCUUCUCCUCUCAUUUUUUCAUCUUUUUUCCCCUUUGUAUUCUUCGGCUAAUUUUGAAGUUUAGUGAUUAAAAUUUUCUCAACGGCGAAACUUUCUUCAACGGUCGAAAACCAUCCCCAAUGCCGGCGACACCCACCCCAACGGUCGAAAACCAGGCCAGCCAUCCACGCAGGUAAAUCCCACCCCAGCAAGAACGGACGCAGGAGACUUCAAUCCAUCGUCUCCAUCUGUUCCUACGACUAAGCCUAGCUUAAAUUCGUAUGUUCAGUUUCUUCUUUCUUUUCUCUUAUUACUGCUAUUUGCUACUUCUUUACGGUAUUCUCAGAAGAAACAGUAGAGACCAUUUCUCAAAGAUAUUCCCUUUCUCUCUAUUUGGGUGUUUCCAAGAUUUGAUUUUUACUCACUUUCUCUCACUAAAGAUUGGAUCUUUACAUAGUUAUUUUGAGUUUUCAACUUUGGCAUUGUUAUUUACUAAAGAUUGCUUUAAGUUUGGGGAACAUUUUGACCCUAUUGUUUUCAAAUCACGGAAUUUCAUCAUUCAUUUCUCACCCCUUCAUCCUUUUCUCCGUCCUUAACCCCCGCGUCCCUUUUAAAUCUUUUCAAAUCUUCGUUAGUAGUAUUAUUUUCUCCGGAAAAUCCGUCAGUUUUCUGGGGAAAAUCUCAUUCUUUUCUUCACUCAUUUCCAAGAUUUAAGCAGUUGAAAACAUUUGCUUUUUUCCAUUUUUGGGAUUCUCAUUUCCGAAUUUGUUGCAAAAACAAUUUUUUUCUAUUUAACUAGUAUAAUUUUGAUUUGUUUUAAUUUAUAGAAGAGUACUGAUUAUUUCUUAAUUUAUAGUAGUAUCAAGUGUUUUGGCAAUAUAUUUCAUUAGAUAUUUGUGUAGUUCCCUGCUUUUUCCAUACAUUUCCCCUACUACGAUCAGGGCUACACCUGUGGUAGCGCUUUUUGGUUUUCGGGUCGUGGUAUUUUCUGUGUUUUCAGGGAAUUUCUAGAAGUUGUGGAGACAAGUUGGGCGCACGAGCACUAGCAAAGGAGAGCAACUAGGACGAGCGUCCGCAACGUGCGGUGGGAAGCGGUGCGUGAGUGUACAACUACAUCAAGUACAACAAAUCAACACAGGUUUAGUUCUCGGGAGUUGGUACCUCCUGUUCUACUGUUUCCCUUUUGGUGUUAGCUAAAUUGAUGUUACUUUGGUUCACAAUAGUUCAACCAUUCUACUAGUGUACUUGUAGUGACUUGUUUCCUUCUACUUUGAUUCGUUGUGCACUAGUGAGUCUUCUUGAGAUUUGUCGUAAGUGUAGUGGCUGCAAUCUGGGAUGAUAGAUUAAGGGCAUGUCCUCGG